UACGAAGGGGGCUAGCGUUGCUCGGAAUGACUGGGCGUAAAGGGCGCGUAGGCGGCUUGCACCGUCAGACGUGAAAUCCCUCAGCUUAACUGGGGAACUGCGUCUGAUACUGGAUGGCUUGAGUUUGGGAGAGGGAUGCGGAAUUCCAGGUGUAGCGGUGAAAUGCGUAGAUAUCUGGAGGAACACCGGUGGCGAAGGCGGCAUCCUGGACCAACACUGACACUGAGGAGCGAAAGCCAGGGGAGCAAACGGG
rnacentral:rRNA from 1 species